UACGAAGGGGGCUAGCGUUGCUCGGAAUCACUGGGCGUAAAGGGUGCGUAGGCGGGUCUUUAAGUCAGGGGUGAAAUCCUGGAGCUCAACUCCAGAACUGCCUUUGAUACUGAGGAUCUUGAGUUCGGGAGAAGGUGAGUGGAACUGCGAGUGUAGAGGUGGAAAUUCGAUAGAUAUUCGCAAGAACACCAGUGGCGAAGGCGGCUCACUGGCCCGAUACUGACGCUGAGGCACGAAAGCGUGGGGAGCAAACAGG
rnacentral:rRNA from 1 species